rnacentral:tRNA from 2 species
GCCGAUGUAGCCUAAUCUGGUAAGGCAACGGUCUCGAAAACCGUUUCCGAAAGGAAUUGUAGGUUCAAAUCCUGCCAUCGGCG